AACGAACGCUGGCGGCAGGCUUAACACAUGCAAGUCGAGCGCCCCGCAAGGGGAGCGGCAGACGGGUGAGUAACGCGUGGGAACGUACCCUUUGCUACGGAAUAGCUCCGGGAAACUGGAAUUAAUACCGUAUGUGCCCUACGGGGGAAAGAUUUAUCGGCAAAGGAUCGGCCCGCGUUGGAUUAGCUAGUUGGUGGGGUAAUGGCCUACCAAGGCGACGAUCCAUAGCUGGUCUGAGAGGAUGAUGAGCCACCUUGGGACUGAGACACGGCCCAAACUCCUACGGGAGGCAGCAGUGGCGAAUAUUGGACAAUGGGCGCAAGCCUGAUCCAGCCAUGCCGCGUGAGUGAUGAAGGCCUUAGGGUUGUAAAGCUCUUUCACCGGAGAAGAUAAUGACGGUAUCCGGAGAAGAAGCCCCGGCUAACUUCGUGCCAGCAGCCGCAGUAACAC
rnacentral:rRNA from 1 species